UACAUGCAAGUCGAACGAGUUCUCGUUGAUGAUCGGUGCUUGCACCGAGAUUCAACAUGGAACGAGUGGCGGACGGGUGAGUAACACGUGGGUAACCUGCCCUUAAGUGGGGGAUAACAUUUGGAAACAGAUGCUAAUACCGCAUAGAUCCAAGAACCGCAUGGUUCUUGGCUGAAAGAUGGCGUAAGCUAUCGCUUUUGGAUGGACCCGCGGCGUAUUAGCUAGUUGGUGAGGUAAUGGCUCACCAAGGCGAUGAUACGUAGCCGAACUGAGAGGUUGAUCGGCCACAUUGGGACUGAGACACGGCCCAAACUCCUACGGGAGGCAGCAGUAGGGAAUCUUCCACAAUGGACGCAAGUCUGAUGGAGCAACGCCGCGUGAGUGAAGAAGGCUUUCGGGUCGUAAAACUCUGUUGUUGGAGAAGAAUGGUCGGCAGAGUAACUGUUGUCGGCGUGACGGUAUCCAACCAGAAAGCCACGGCUAACUACGUGCCAGCAGCCGCGGUAAUACGUAGGUGGCAAGCGUUAUCCGGAUUUAUUGGGCGUAAAGCGAGCGCAGGCGGUUUUUUAAGUCUGAUGUGAAAGCCCUCGGCUUAACCGAGGAAAGCGGCAUCGGAAAACCUGGGAAAACUUGGAGUGCAAGAAGAGGACCAAGUGGGAACUCCCAUGUGGUAGCGGGUGAAAAUGCGKAGGAUAUAUGGGARGAACACCCAGUGGCGAAAGGCGGGCUGUCUGGGUCUGUAAMYGACGGCUGAGGCUCGAAAAGCAUGGGUAGCGAACAGGGAUUAGAUACCCUGGUAGUCCAUGCCGUAAACGAUGAAUGCUAGGUGUUGGAGGGUUUCCGGCCCUUCAGUGCCGCAGCUAACGCAUUAAGCAUUCCGCCUGGGGAGUACGACCGCAAGGUUGAAACUCAAAGGAAUUGACGGGGGCCCGCACAAGCGGUGGAGCAUGUGGUUUAAUUCGAAGCAACGCGAAGAACCUUACCAGGUCUUGACAUCUUUUGAUCACCUGAGAGAUCAGGUUUCCCCUUCGGGGGCAAAAUGACAGGUGGUGCAUGGUUGUCGUCAGCAAAAAAAAUGAGAUGUUGGGUUAAGUCCCGCAACGAGCGCAACCCUUAUGACUAGUUGCCAGCAUUUAGUUGGGCACUCUAGUAAGACUGCCGGUGACAAACCGGAGGAAGGUGGGGAUGACGUCAAAUCAUCAUGCCCCUUAUGACCUGGGCUACACACGUGCUACAAUGGAUGGUACAACGAGUUGCGAGACCGCGAGGUCAAGCUAAUCUCUUAAAGCCAUUCUCAGUUCGGACUGUAGGCUGCAACUCGCCUACACGAAGUCGGAAUCGCUAGUAAUCGCGGAUCAGCACGCCGCGGUGAAUACGUUCCCGGGCCUUGUACACACCGCCCGUCACACCAUGAGAGUUUGUAACACCCGACGCCGUACGUAACCCUUUUAGGGAGCGAGCCGUCUAAGGUGGGACAAAUGAUUAGGGUGAAG
rnacentral:rRNA from 2 species